GCCGGGUACCGUGGCACAUGCCUGUAAUCCCAGUGGCUCAGGAGGCUGAGGCAGGAGGAUCGUGAGUUCCAAGCCAGCCUCAGCAAUGGCGAGGUGCUAAGCAACUCAGUGAGACCCUGUCUCUA
rnacentral:sRNA from 1 species